rnacentral:rRNA from 1 species
GCCCAAGUCGGAUUAGCUAGUUGGCGGGGUAACGGCCCACCAAGGCGACGAUCCGUAGCUGGUCUGAGAGGACGAUCAGCCACACUGGGACUGAGACACGGCCCAGACUCCUACGGGAGGCAGCAGUGGGGAAUUUUGGACAAUGGGGGCAACCCUGAUCCAGCCAUGCCGCGUGAGUGAAGAAGGCCUUUGGGUUGUAAAGCUCUUUUGUAGGGGAAGAUAAUGACUGUACCCUAAGAAUAAGGUCCGGCUAACUUCGUGCCAGCAGCCGCGGUAAUACGAAGGGACCUAGCGUAGUUCGGAAUUACUGGGCGUAAAGCGCGCGUAGGCCGUUGAGUUAGUUAAUUGUGAAAUCCCAAAGCUUAACUUUGGAACUGCAAUUAAAACUGCUCGACUAGAGUUUGAUAGAGGAAAGCGGAAUACAUAGUGUAGAGGUGAAAUUCGUAGAUAUUAUGUAGAACACCAGUUGCGAAGGCGGCUUUCUGGAUCAACACUGACGCUGAGGCGCGAAAGUAUGGGUAGCAAAGAGGAUUAGAUACCCUCGUAGUCCAUACCAUAAACGAUGAUUGCUAGAUGUUGGAAAUUUAUUUUCAGUAUCGCAGCUAACGCAUUAAGCAAUCCGCCUGGGGAGUACGACCGCAAGGUUAAAACUCAAAGGAAUUGACGGGGACCCGCACAAGCGGUGGAGCAUGUGGUUUAAUUCGAAGAUACGCGCAGAACCUUACCAACCCUUGACAUGUCUGUCGCGAGUUUAGGAAACUAGACUUUUCGGUUCGGCCGGACAGAACACAGGUGCUGCAUGGCUGUCGUCAGCUCGUGUCGUGAGAUGUUGGGUU